UCUCCCUCAGUCACGACGACCACUCCCAGUCUGUGCUUCUUUUACAGAAGUUUAGAUCUGUCCCACAAUGAGAGUUCUAGAAUGCAUGUUCCUCCUGGCUCUCAUCUCAGCUGUUCAGGGGCAGUCACUCACCUCCUCUGAGCCAGUAGUGAAGAAACCUGGAGAGUCAGUAAUACUGUCAUGUACUGUGUCUGGACUACCCCUGAGCUGGUUACACUGGAUCCGUCAGAAACCUGGGAAAGGUCUAGAGUGGAUUGGGCGCAUUGACAGUGGCACUGGCACUAUAUUUGCCCAAUCUCUACAAGGUCAGUUCACCAUCACCAAAGACCGCUCCAAAAACCAGCUGUACCUCGAGGUAAAAAGCCUGAAGACCAAAGACUCUGCUGUUUAUUAUUGUGCCAGAGACACAGUCAGUGGUUCCUUGUCCCCACGACACCCCUCUGACCCCCUGGACGUCAAGGGAGCUCCCGCCUAUGCAGUCAGAUCCCUACAGGACUCCCAAUGUUGUGGGGGUUGGCUGCAGUACCUUGUGGACUAG